rnacentral:lncRNA from 10 species
UUCAUAAGUCCUUGGAAGCUCCUGUAAAGAUUUGCAUUUUCCUUCCCUGAGAUGAAUGCCAGCAGAGGAUAUCUAGGCCGAGGAGAGACAUGAUCUUUUUUUAUAUUUUAAAGGAUCUCUCUGACAGUUGUGUUGAUAAACUGAAAUGAGACAAAGGUGGAAAUAAGAAGAUCACUUAAGAUUUAUUGCAAAAACCAAGAGGAGGGAUGGUGGUGGCUUAGAUCAGGAUGGCUACAUUCAAGCAUGGUAGUCAAGAGCAGGAACUGUGAGGGAAAACGUCUGAUUCUGAAAUCCAGCUGUGACACUCACACACUCUAUUACCUCCAGUGACUGACUUGUGCCUCAGUUUCCUGAGCUGAAAAAUGGGAAAUACAAUAGCUCCUACUUCAAAGAAGUAUUAAGGACGGAAUGAAGUAAUAUACAUGAAGUACUUACAACACUGCAUACCUGUGAUGUCUAAUAAUUGAGUGUCAACAUGAUUGGAUUGAAGGAUGCAAAGUAUUGUUCCUGGGUGUGUCUGUGAGGGUGCUGGCAAAGGAGAUUAACAUUUGAGUCAGUGGACUGGGAGAGGCAGACCCACCCUCAGUGCGGGUGAGCACCAGCUAAUAAGCUGCCAUCGCGGCUAGAAUAGAGCAGGCAGAAAUUGGAAGGAUUUGACUUGCUGAAUCUUCCAGCCUUCAUCUUUCUCCCGUGCUGGAUGCUUCCUGCCCUCGAACAUCAGACUCCAAAUUCAGCCUUGGGACUCUUGGACUUACACCAGUAGAUUUGCCAGGGACUCUCGGGACAGACUGAAGGAUGCACUGUCAGCUUCCCUACGUUUAAGGUUUUGGGACUCGGACUGGCUUCCUUGCUCCUCAGCUUGCAGACGGCCUUUCAUGGGACUUCACCUUGUGAUCGUGUGAGUCAAUUCUCCUAAUAAACUCCCCUUCAUAUAUACAUCUCUCAUAUCAGUUCUAUCCCUCUAGAGAACACUGACUAAUACACUGCUCAUAAUAAGUACUUAAUAAGAAUUAGCUGUUGUUUUUAUAAUUAUUACUAUGGCUUGGUUAUUACUAUCUCAUUAUGCAUCCUUGAUGCCUACCACCUUCUCUUGUGUUUGAUGACCCUGAAUCAAAUGUGAGAGAGAACCCUAGUGGUGGAAAGGUGCCAGCGUCAUCCAGAUCACACAGAACCACUGGUGUAACAGAGCGCCUCGUCUUGUGUUGGAGGCGUACAUCAGGAUUUAUAGACAAACUGUGUCUCUUUGGGGAAAAUCAUCAACUGAUGCAGUACCAAGUGUGUGUCUUGGGGGUAUCCUUUCCUGGGUUGAACCCCCUCUUCUUCACAAUAUCCUAUGGAAAAAGUGUGUCAGAGGGAGAGUGCAGAUAGAGGAGACUAAAAGACAUUAAAGAGAUUGUCAAAAGUCAGAGGAUAAACUCUUUUUCAAC